CUGCUGCCCCAAAGAAGGCGGCGGCCAAGGAGGUAGAGGAGGACGAUGAGGAGGAAUCCGACAAGUCCAAGUCGGAGAUCAAUGAUGACGAUGACGAUGAGGGUAGCGACGAGGUAUACACCACACAACAUCCUGUGUACCGUCUCUUCAAUUAGUUUAUGGAACUCGCUAUGCAUGCUAACUGCUUCAGAAGAAUGCUGCAUUAUUCCUUAGCUGUUGAUUCUAAGUGUAGAUUGAUUGUAUCGAGUUGAGGGCUUGAGGCUGUAGUUGAUUAGAUCAACCAUCUGUUAAGUAAGAUCUGUUGUAGACGUGUAUCCUAUGUUCUGAACAUGAAGUUGCCAUUGCAGGACGAGGACGAUGACGAGUGAAGCGGACAAUGCGGGAGCUGCUGUGCGAGAAGCGACCUGAGCUGUGUGCGGUGGUGUCAUAAGGAGCCUAUCCAUCUCCACUAGAAUUAUCCCAAGUUUCACUUCACAUCGUGAUGUUGUUUUACCUUUUUUCUUGUCAUUGUCCUGCUAUAACGGAUAGCGCUCCCUGUUGGCGCCGCUGCCGGCGGGGUGCCCUUGUGUUGGAGGGUGUAUGCUCCCAGCGCCGGGGUGCCCCUGCUUGUACCUAGAUGGUUACUCUUUCCGUCCACCAUUGUCACCGGCUAACAUUGUGAUAAUAUCAGUCUGGGUAAUGUUAGAUUAAGCUGUUGUCGCCCCAUGCCAUGCAUUUGCGUGUAUGAUUUGUUCCUUGUUAUGCUUGCUUUGUUGGUUCUGUGAUUGCUGCU
rnacentral:lncRNA from 1 species